UACCUGCACCUGAACAGAAAGACCCUAUGAAGUUUCACUGUUCCGUGGGAUUGGCUUUGGGCUUUUCCUGCGCAACUUAGGUAACGGAGGUGUUAAAGAUUUCCUCGGGACAGACGAAGAUUGGCCCUCGAGUGCAAGGGCAGAAGGGAGCUUCACUACAAGACCCACCUGUAGAGCAGGGACGAAAGUCGACCUUAGUGAUCCGACGGUGCCGAGUGGAAGGGUCGUCACUCAACGGAUAAAAGUUACUCUAGGGAUAACAUGCUGAUCUUCCCCAAGAGCUCACAUCGACGGGAAGGUUUGGCACCUCGAUGUCGGCUCUUCGCUACCUAGGGUUGUAGUAUGUUCCAAGGGUUGGGUUGUUCGCCCAUUAAAGCGAUACGUGAGCUGGGUUCAGAAUGUCGUGAGACAGUUCGGUCCAUAUCCGGUGUGAGCGUUAGAACAUUGAGAGGACCUUUCCCUAGUACGAGAGGACCGGGAAGGACACACCCCUAGUGUACCAGUUAUCGUGCCCACGGUAAAUGCUGGGUAGCCAAGUUCGAAGCGAAUAACUACUGAAAGCAUAUAAGUAGUAAGCCCACCCCAAGAUGAGUCUCUCCUAUUCCGACUUCCCAGAGCCUCAGAUUUUGAGAAGAGUUGCUCUUUGGAGAGCAUAGUACGAUGAAAGUUGUAAGUUGUGUUCGGGGGGAGUUAUUCUCUAUCAUUGGUCUCUAUAGUAGAAUCAGUCGGGGCCUGAGAGGCGGUGGUUUACCCUGUGGUGAAUGUCAGCGGUUCGAGUCUGGUUAUCUCCAACUCGUGAACUUAGCCGAUAUAAAGCUAUAUCA
rnacentral:rRNA from 1 species